rnacentral:rRNA from 1 species
AAUCCUGGCUCAGGACGAACGCUGGCGGCGUGCCUAACACAUGCAAGUCGAACGGGGUUGAGUGCUUCGGUAUUCAACCUAGUGGCGAACGGGUGAGUAACGCGUGAAGAACCUGCCUUUCAGUGGGGGACAACAGUUGGAAACGACUGCUAAUACCGCAUGACGCUUCUUGGGGGCAUCCCCGAGAAGUAAAGACUUAUUGUGCUGAAAGAAUGGCUCGUCGUCUGAUUAGUCUAGAUGGCGGGGUAACGGGCCCG